rnacentral:rRNA from 1 species
CAGUAGCCGCGGGAAGACGGAGGGUGCUAGCGUUGUUCGGAAUCACUGGGCGUAAAGGGCGCGUAGGCGGCCUGUUAAGUCGGAUGUGAAAGCCCGGGGCUCAACCCCGGAACUGCAUCCGAGACUGGCAGGCUUGAGACCGGGAGAGGAGGGUGGAAUAUCCAGUGUAGAGGUGAAAUUCGUAGAUAUUGGAUGGAACACCGGUGGCGAAAGCGGCUCUCUGGCCCGGAUCUGACGCUGAGGCGCGAAAGCGUGGGGAGCAAACAGGAUUAGAUACCCCUGUAGUCCCUGUCUCUUAUAC